GACGAACGCUGGCGGCGUGCUUAACACAUGCAAGUCGAACGGAAAGGCCCUUCGGGGUACUCGAGUGGCGAACGGGUGAGUAACACGUGGGUGAUCUGCCCUGCACUUUGGGAUAAGCCUGGGAAACUGGGUCUAAUACCGAAUAUGAUCAUCAGCUUCAUGGUUGGUGGUGGAAAGCUUUUGCGGUGUGGGAUGGGCCCGCGGCCUAUCAGCUUGUUGGUGGGGUAAUGGCCUACCAAGGCGACGACGGGUAGCCGGCCUGAGAGGGUGACCGGCCACACUGGGACUGAGAUACGGCCCAGACUCCUACGGGAGGCAGCAGUGGGGAAUAUUGCACAAUGGGCGCAAGCCUGAUGCAGCGACGCCGCGUGAGGGAUGACGGCCUUCGGGUUGUAAACCUCUUUCAGCACAGACGAAGCGCAAGUGACGGUAUGUGCAGAAGAAGGACCGGCCAACUACGUGCCAGCCGCCGCCGUAAUAC
rnacentral:rRNA from 1 species